rnacentral:rRNA from 1 species
UACGGAGGGUGCGAGCGUUGUUCGGAAUCACUGGGCAUAAAGCGCACGUAGGCGGCGACGUAAGUUGGGUGUGAAAUCCCUCGGCCCAACCGAGGAACUGCGCCCAGUACUGCGUUGCUUGAGGAUCCAAGGGGUGCAUGGAAUUCCCGGUGGAGCGGUGAAAUGCGUUGAUAUCGGGAGGAACUCCGGCGGCGAAAGCGGUGCACUGGUGGAUUACUGACGCUGAGGUGCGAAAGCUAGGGGAGCAAACAGGGAUU